GUAAGAUUUGGAAUGUGUUCCUCCUUUUCCUAAAAUGACAUUAUGGAUUGCUGCUUCUUUCCCUUAGAUAUAAGGAGCAAGAUGAUCACUGUCAUGGAAACCCUAUCUACUAUGUCUCCUCUCUGUUACAAAGGAUUCAUUUAAAGUUUCCUCAUCAUAAACCCCUGGCAUCUUUCUAAAACCUGGCUGGAAGAUUGAAGAAUAUGGAGUUGGAUGAAGAAGCAUGGAGAGAGGUCAAAAUGUCCUUAGACACGGUCUGCACAAGCCUGUGAGCAGCAGCAGCAGCAGCAGCAGCAGCAGCAGAGCCAGUGGAUAUCAUCAGGGUCACAUAGGAGGCUCCAGCACCCCCAGUUGGCUACAGUACCCAGCACUCAGUAUCUGUGCUGUGAGAACCUCAGUGCGCAGCGUGGGAGCUGUUUCUACCAGGCUCCAGUUUAGUUUCUGCUCAUUUCCUGA
rnacentral:lncRNA from 1 species